CUGACAGUAUGACGAAAUAUUACCUUUAGGCGUCGUUUUAUACUGUCAACAAGCAGUGACCAAGCAGCAAAAAUUUAAGACAACGAACAGAGAACUAUUCAGUUAACACUGAAGGUGCUGUGUUGAGCCUGUCGUUCUCCACUGUAUAAACCGUUCUGGAGCGGUAACUGUAGAUGUAACGGUGGUUCACUUUAGCCAAGCUUCCAUAGUCUACAGUCUACCAGAAAACUGCUCAGUUAUAGAUACGAGGCAACUUCUGUUUUCCGUUGUUCGUUGUUUUGUGAAAUUCAGAAGUCGCCUAAACCAGAUGGCUAAAACCAGUAGUAGGCCAAUGUACACUCCUCGGUUUGGGAGUCAGUUAUCUUUGAGAUCUACCAGGAAACAUAAACUUGGAGAGAAGCCUCCAUUAGCGGCUGCUAACGCCAAGCUUUGGCCUGCAGACCGCGAACAAACUGCAAACUCGGGAAUGGCGCGGAGAGCCAAGGGAAUGAAAGCAGCUAACGCUAAACUGUUCUCCACAACAAGAAAAGAAGGACCUGUCACCAUAAGGAGCAUUCCACAACAACAUCCAAAUACGUGUCCAAAAACCUUAACAGAAAAAAAGGACAUCCCACAUAGGGAGGUAUCAGGGCAUUCCAACACUCAAAGGGAAUCGGUCGGCCAGAUAUAUACAGAUGCUUUCAGUUUUUCAGUCCCAGAACUUGAAACACCAUCAAAACCGAGUGCUGUGAAGCAGGCUGUUCUCAGGACCAUCUCUAAGAUGCUGGAGGAGAACGGGGCCAUCAGGAGGAGACUCACAGCGUGCAGAGAGGAGAGACGCACAGGCACAGAAUGGAUCAGUACGCUGUGAUCUGACUGGGCAAGAUGAAAAUGGAGACAUCAGCAGCAUCCCACAGAAUAGUGUGCAAUGUUGUAGAAUUUCCAUUCUGUUUGACUCAAAUAUAUGAGUUUCAUAUAAUAAAAUUAAAUUGUAUUUGAUUAAAUAAAAGUUGAAGUACAUAAUUAUACAUUAACUAGAAUUGGAAUGUUAAACAUCUAGUUUACUUCAGAUGUAUUCUGUUGCAUGUCUGAAAAGAAUUAGAUUCUGCUGUUACGUUCAUGCCAGUGUUCUCAGGAAUUUUAAAUAAAAUGGUUUACCAUUUGA